rnacentral:rRNA from 1 species
AGUGAACGCUGGCGGUAGGCCUAACACAUGCAAGUCGAACGGCAGCACAGUAAGAGCUUGCUCUUACGGGUGGCGAGUGGCGGACGGGUGAGGAAUACAUCGGAAUCUACUUUUUCGUGAGGGAUAACGUAGGGAAACUUACGCUAAUACCGCAUACGACCUACGGGUGAAAGCAGGGGAUCUUCGGACCUUGCGCGAUUGAAUGAGCCGAUGUCGGAUUAGCUAGUUGGCGGGGUAAAGGCCCACCAAGGCGACGAUCCGUAGCUGGUCUGAGAGGAUGAUCAGCCACACUGGAACUGAGACACGGUCCAGACUCCUACGGGAGGCAGCAGUGGGGAAUAUUGGACAAUGGGCGCAAGCCUGAUCCAGCCAUACCGCGUGGGUGAAGAAGGCCUUCGGGUUGUAAAGCCCUUUUGUUGGGAAAGAAAAGCAGCAGGUUAAUACCCCGCUGUUCUGACGGUACCCAAAGAAUAAGCACCGGCUAACUUCG